CCUACGGGUGGCAGCAGUGAGGAAUAUUGGUCAAUGGGCGCGAGUCUGAACCAGCCAAGUCGCGUGAGGGAAGACGGUCCUAUGGAUUGUAAACUUCUUUUGUCGGGGAGCAAAAGACGCCACGCGUGGCGUUCCGAGAGUACCCGAAGAAAAAGCAUCGGCUAACUCCGUGCCAGCAGCCGCGGUAAUACGGAGGAUUCAAGCGUUAUCCGGAUUUAUUGGGUUUAAAGGGUGCGUAGGCGGUUCGAUAAGUUAGAGGUGAAAGCCCGGGGCUCAACUCCGGCACUGCCUCUGAUACUGUCGGGCUAGAGUUUAGUUGCGGUAGGCGGAAUGUAUGGUGUAGCGGUGAAAUGCAUAGAGAUCAUACAGAACACCGAUUGCGAAGGCAGCUUACCAAACUACGACUGACGUUGAGGCACGAAAGCGUGGGGAGCAAACAGGAUUAGAUACCCCUGUAGUC
rnacentral:rRNA from 1 species